GUUAUAGCUCAGUGGCAGAGCACUUGCCUACCAUGUGUGAGGCACUGGGUUCGAUUCUCCGUACCACA
rnacentral:tRNA from 1 species